AGGUUAACAAUUUCACCUUCUACACCUUUUGCACACUGCUUAAUUUCUCUUUCAUACACUUUAUUCAGCAAUUUUCCUGCAACAUCUGCUCAUUUAUGAGCACUGUA